rnacentral:rRNA from 1 species
AGGAGGUUGGCUUAGAAGCAGCCAUCCUUUAAAGAAAGCGUAAUAGCUCACUGGUCGAGUCGUCCUGCGCGGAAGAUGUAACGGGGCUAAGCCAGUCACCGAAGCUGCGGAUAUGUCUUAUGACAUAUGGUAGGAGAGCGUUCUGUAAGCCUGCGAAGGUGUCUUGUAAAGGAUGCUGGAGGUAUCAGAAGUGCGAAUGCUGACAUGAGUAACGAUAAUGCGGGUGAAAAACCCGCACGCCGGAAGACCAAGGGUUCCUAUCCCAUGCUAAUCAGGGUAGGGUAAGUCGGCCCCUAAGGCGAGGCAGAAAUGCGUAGUCGAUGGGAACCACGUUAAUAUUCGUGGGCCUGGUGGUAGUGACGGAUUGCGUAACUUGUUUGCUCUUAUUGGAUUGAGCAGGCGGGGAAGCGGUUCCAGGAAAUAGCUCCACCGUAUAGACCGUACCCGAAACCGA